rnacentral:rRNA from 1 species
AGGACGAACGCUGGCGGCGUGCUUAACACAUGCAAGUGGAGCGACGAACCAGGCUUCGGCCUGGGGCAGAGCCGCGAACGGGUGAGUAACACGUGGGUAACCUGCCCUGAUGAUUGGGACAACCCGAGGAAACUCGGGCUAAUACCAAAUGUGCCCUCUGGCCUCAAGGCCUCUGGGGAAAGGAGCUUCGGCCUCCGCAUUGGGAUGGGCCCGCGGCCCAUUAGCUUGUUGGUGAGGUAACGGCUCACCAAGGCUACGAUGGGUAGCUGGUCUGAGAGGACGAUCAGCCACACUGGGACUGAGACACGGCCCAGACUCCUACGGGAGGCAGCAGUGGGGAAUCUUGCGCAAUGCGCGAAAGCGUGACGCAGCAACGCCGCGUGGGGGAAGACGGCCUUCGGGUUGUAAACCCCUUUCAGUUGGGACGAAGCUUUGCCGGUGACAGCCGGUUGGAGUGACGGUACCUUCAGAAGAAGCCCGGCUAACUACGUGCCAGCAGCCGCGGUAAU